AUGUGGGAAUGAUUUCUUACUAAUAAAGAAACUGCCUUGGCCCAUUUUAUUGGAUAGAAAAUUAGGUAGGCGGAGUAUACAGAAGAGAAUUCUGGGAGAAAGAAGGUUAGAGGAAGAGUCGCCAUGAUUCUCCCGCUCCAGACAGACGCAGGUUAAGAUCCUCUCUGGUAAGCCAGCUCAUGGGCUACACAGAAUAUUAGAAAUGGGUUAGAACAAUAUGUAAGAGCUAGCCAAUAAGAAACUGGACCUAGCCAGGCCAGGCAGUGUUUGAAAGAAUACAGUUUCCGUGUAAUUAUUUCUGGGUAUAAACUAGCCAUGCGGGCGGCCGGGUGCCGGGGACGCAGCCCUGCCGUCCCUAUUUCAACAGAUGGCGCCCAGACGUGAUGGGCUAAAUCCACUUAAAAACCUGAGAAGGCUUAAAAAUAAGGGAGAGAGAGUUUAACACAGAUUUUUGCUGUUUUGUUGGUGG